AACGUAGGAGGCGAGCGUUAUCCGGAUUCACUGGGCGUAAAGCGCGUGCAGGCGGUUUGGUAAGUUGGGCGUGAAAACUCCUAGCUCAACUGGGAGAGGUCGUCCAAAACUACCAGACUAGAGAGCGAUAGAGGAAAAUGGAAUUCCCGGUGUAGUGGUGAAAUGCGUAGAUAUCGGGAGGAACACCAGUGGCGAAGGCGAUUUUCUGGAUCGUUUCUGACGCUCAGACGCUAAAGCUAGGGUAGCAAACGGG
rnacentral:rRNA from 1 species